UACGGAGGGGGGCUAGCGUUGUUCGGAAUUACUGGGCGUAAAGCGCACGUAGGCGGCGAUCUAAGUCAGAGGUGAAAGCCCCGGGGGCUCAACCCCCGGAACUGCCUUUUGAGACUGGAUUGCUAGAAUCACAGAGAGGUGGGUGGAAUUCCGAGUGUAGAGGUGAAAAUUCGUAGAUAUUCGGAAGAAACACCAGUGGCGAAGGGCGGCCCACCUGGACGUGUAUUGACGCUGAGGUGCGAAAGCGUGGGGAGCAAACAGG
rnacentral:rRNA from 1 species